CCCGUCGUCUCCCAUCUCUCAACUUCCCCUUUUUCUCACUGCUGGCUAGAGACUCCACUGUCAGCCCCCCAAUUCCACUGUCCGCCGUCGUCCCCCGGCUUGGCUCGUGCUGCUUUACACCGCUUAGCUCGUCCGCCCCUGGCCCCCGGCUCCCUCGCGCGGCCGCCGGCUCGAGCUUUGGGCGCGCGGCCCCGCUCCCCGGCUCCCUCGCGCGGCCGCCGGCCCGAGCUUUGGGCGCGCGGCCCCGCUCCCCGGCUCCUUCGCUCGUUCCUGCCCCGGGUCCCUCGCGCGGCCGCCCGGCGCAGAUUCGCUCGCCUGGCCCCGCCCCCGCUCCCUCGCGCGCCCCUGCCACCGGCUGCCUCGCGCGGCCCCUGCCCCAUCUUCGCUCACGCAUCCCCGCCACACGGCUCCGUCGCACGGCCGCCAGCCGCCGGCUCCCUCGCGACGGACCGGCCCUCCCCUGCGCCUGCAGGGAUGAGCCAGGGUUCACCACUGGCGCGGUGCCGUUGAAGAUCCCAGGGUUCCGAAAGGAUUCGAGGGAGCGCGGGUGGUGCGGGUGGUGUUGUUUGGCCUCAAUUCAUAGUGGUGAUGUUGGAUUGAUGCCGCUCGGGAAGAUUGAUCAGCGUGGAGAAUAAUAGUGGAAACCUACUUUCUGGUCGUCGGCGCGACUGAGGCGGUCAAUGGCGUCAUCGCGCUAGGCAAGCUGAGAGCGCAUCCCGUGGCCUCAGUCUCCAGCCACCCGAUGUGGGAUGCGCAACGUGGGAAGCUAGCGCGUUGGAGGUGAUCUUCCGCGCCACGUCAAGCUGCUCAAACCGGUUCACCGGAAGCAUCGCCGCCAGCUUUUAUGAAGGUUAAUACUUCGUCGAGACGUGCCAGAAGUUUGUCGUCGGGACUCGCCUCCUAAUUCCUGCCGUCCCAGCCGCACCGGCGCCGCCUUGGACCGCUUCGAGCUCGACAACGACGACGGAGGGACCGUGGUUCU